rnacentral:lncRNA from 1 species
AUAGUGAUUUUUUAAAAAUUAUUACUGUAGGAAAUAGUGAUGUAGUUAUAAAAUAAUUUUCAAAAUAGAAAAUACUGUUUUGUGAUCUUUUCUCAUGUAUUUUGUACAUAUCUUUAAGAUUAAAAUAGUUGUCUGUCUGAACUAUUUGAAACUUGUUUUUCACCUUCCUAUUUAUUCACUGAUUCAAAUUUAAUGCACUACUCAAUUUAUUUCGAUAUCUUUGGUAACUAUGAACAGGUCCAGUCAGGCAUUUGAGUGAGUAUGAUAGUGUCAGGGGUAGGGUCAUAGAGGAAGAGUACAGCCAGUGUCAAGUAAAUUAUUCUACGGAAGGAUUCUUUGGCGCUUCAGAGAAACGGCUUCACACCAGUAAACCUAGGACUUAGAUCCUCGAACGAGAUAGAUGAUAGAUUCAUUCAUCAUCAGGCUUUUCAAAACUGCGGACUGCAAAAAGAAGGCUCGGUGAAAAUAACCUCGGUACCUGACGCAUAGACUUCUUACCACAGAGCAGAAAAUGGCCAGAAAUCAAUUUCCUACAGGAGCGUGUGAGUAUGAUAGAUUCAUGGACAUUGGAAGAUUGGGCACAAGUUCUCUUUAUAGAUGAGGCGAGAGUUGGCCUCAGAUCUUCAGAUGGAGAUUAAUUUCUUAUGGAUACGCUCAGUAGAAAGGUACACUAUGGUUUCUCAGGUGGCAUUCCACAGUGGAUCGUUGAUAUUGGCAUUUCCUUAGACCCUCUCUCCAAACUAGUUGUGCGAGGAAGAUUUUUUUAAACGUUACUCAAUAAUUUGGUAAUAAACAUUUUUUUAAA